AGGCGCGUAGCUCAGUGGUAGAGCAUCACCUUGACAUGGUGGUGGUCGGUGGUUCGAUUCCACUCGUGCCUACCA
rnacentral:tRNA from 1 species